CUGGGAGGAUGAUGGCAUGCAGGGUGGGACUCUUGUUCUUCCCAGGGUCGCAACAGCAGCUGGAAGGACUCUGAAAAAAAGGAGACUUCUACCUGGUCCUUGAAGGUGUGAUUGCCACAGUGAUUUGGGUGCAACAACUGGCACACAAUGAUAAUGGUCACAGCAUUCUUGGUGUGGAGGAGACAGGAAAUGCUCCGGGUCCCAUCCCUCCUAGGGAGAUACACCUGGUGGGAGCCAGAAGAAGGGCCUUCUCCAUGGUGGCCCCUUCUCUCUGGAACAUCAUCCCACCCAGAGAUUAGAAUGGCUCCCAUUCUAGCACUCUUCCGGAAAGCGCUGAAGACCUGGUUCUGCCAGCAGGCCUGGGAAACCCAGAGCAGGAUGGAGCCCAUUAAAUGGCUCGUGUAAUCUGCUGUCGCCUGGAUGGGGAGGUGGGGGGUGAUUUUGUUAUAUUGUACUGUAUUAAUUGAUUUGAUUCCUUUUGUUAGUUUUUGUUGUUUUAAAUGUAGUUUUAUAUUCUGUAAUCCAUCUUUGAGUUGCUAUGGGCGAAUAGGCAGCAAUAUAAAUUCAAUAAAAUAAAUAAAUAAAAUUCUGCAGUCAGCGAUCACCGUUGACAAACCUCA